UGAGCAACCUGCCCUUGACCCUGGAGUAACAGCUGGAAACAGCUGCUAAUACCGGAUAUGACCUCCGAUGGCAUCAUCUGGAGGUGGAAAGCUCCGACGGUCAAGGAUGGGCUCGCGGCCUAUCAGCUUGUUGGUGAGGUAACGGCUCACCAAGGCUUCGACGGGUAGCCGACCUGAGAGGGUGAUCGGCCACAUUGGAACUGAGACACGGGCCAGAUCCGUACGGG
rnacentral:rRNA from 1 species